UGAGCAAUCUGCCCUUCUCAUCGGAAUAAGCGUUGGAAACGUCGUCUAAUGCCGAAUACGACCUCCUUUCGCAUGAUCGGAGGUGGAAAGCUCCGGCGGAGAAGGAUGAGCUCGCGGCCUAUCAGCUAGUUGGUGUGGUAAUGGCCCACCAAGGCGACGAUGGGUAGCCGGCCUGAGAGGGUGACCGGCCACACGUGGGACUGAGACACCGGCCCAAACUCCGUACGGGAGCAG
rnacentral:rRNA from 1 species